rnacentral:rRNA from 1 species
GACGAACGCUGGCGGCGUGCUUAACACAUGCAAGUCGAACGAAGAGCGAUGGAAGCUUGCUUCUAUCAAUCUUAGUGGCGCACGGGUGAGUAACGCGUAAUCAACCUGCCCUUCAGAGGGGGACAACAGUUGGAAACGACUGCUAAUACCGCAUACGAUCUGACCUCGGCAUCGAGGAUAGAUGAAAGGUGGCCUCUAUUUAUAAGCUAUCACUGAAGGAGGGGAUUGCGUCUGAUUAGCUAGUUGGAGGGGUAACGGCCCACCAAGGCGAUGAUCAGUAGCCGGUCUGAGAGGAUGAACGGCCACAUUGGGACUGAGACACGGCCCAGACUCCUACGGGAGGCAGCAGUGGGGAAUCUUCCGCAAUGGACGAAAGUCUGACGGAGCAACGCCGCGUGAGUGAUGACGGCCUUCGGGUUGUAAAGCUCUGUUAAUCGGGACGAAAGGCCUUCUUGCGAAUAGUUAGAAGGAUUGACGGUACCGGAAUAGAAAGCCACGGCUAACUACGUG